UUUCGUGCCGUAGCUAACGCAUUAAGCGCCCCGCCUGGGGAGUACGGCCGCAAGGCUAAAACUCAAAGGAAUUGACGGGGGCCCGCACAAGCGGCGGAGCAUGUGGAUUAAUUCGAUGCAACGCGAAGAACCUUACCUGGGUUUGACAUGCACCAGACGGUUGUAGAGAUACGUACCUCCCUUUGUGGUUGGUGUGCAGGUGGUGCAUGGUUGUCGUCAGCUCGUGUCGUGAGAUGUUGGGUUAAGUCCCGCAACGAGCGCAACCCUUGUCUUAUGUUGCCAGCACGUUUAGGGUGGGGACUCAUGAGAGACUGCCGGGGUUAACUCGGAGGAAGGUGGGGAUGACGUCAAAUCAUCAUGCCCUUUAUGCCCAGGGCUUCACACAUGCUACAAUGGUUAGUACAACGCGCUGCGAACCUGUGAGGGUGAGCGAAUCGCUGAAAGCUAAUCUCAGUUCGGAUUGGGGUCUGCAACUCGACCCCAUGAAGUCGGAGUCGCUAGUAAUCGCAGAU
rnacentral:rRNA from 1 species